AGGGAUGUAACUCAGCAGGAGAGAACUUGUUUUGCAUGUCAGAGGCCCUGGGUUUAACCCCCAGCAUCUCCA
rnacentral:tRNA from 1 species